GGGGCUUGUAAAUGACUUGACCCAUUAUUAAUUUUCCAGGAACAAAUAAUUACCUGUGGGUAUAUGUAGAAGCUGCUUCACUCAUCUUUCUUUCAUUAUAUUAAAAUAAAAAAUUAUCUAAAAAUCCCUUAAAUUUAUUGUCAUCAAAUAUGCAUACACAGUUUGUUGUAGGAGAAUCAUCUUCUUCUUCCAACUUGUAUUAUGAUGUAUUUCUUAGUUUCAGAGGUGAAGAUACUCGCAAAACCUUCACCGGUCAUCUUUACACCCAAUUGUGUCAAGUCGGAGUUAAUACCUUCAUAGAUGAUGAGGAAUUAAGAAAGGGAGACGCCAUUUCAACCGAACUUGAGAAAGCAAUUGAACAAUCAAGGGUUGCCAUUGUUGUUUUCUCCAUAAAUUAUGCUUCCUCUAGUUGGUGUCUUGAUGAACUCGUUAAAAUUCUCGAUUGCAGAGAGAGGUUAAAUCAGGUAGUUUUGCCUAUUUUUUAUGAUGUUGAUCCUUCUCAAGUGCGAAAGCAAAAAGGGUCCUUUGGCAAAGCUUUGGCAGAACACAAGGAACCAUUGGUUGGAGCUGAAAGAAUGGAAAAGUGGAAAGCAGCACUCACUGAAGCUGCGAGUUUAUCUGGAUGGGAUCUGCAAAACAUGGCUGAUGGGUAAGACUUCUUAAUUCAACUAUAGAAUUUUGAAUUUAAGCGUUUGUCUAAGCAUAUAAGCUGGUUAAUUUUGGAACAUUGCAAAGUCUUUCUAUAUUUCUUAAAUUACAUAUCAAAUCAAACUACAUCCGCAGAGCAGUAUUAAUGGACAAAUUUCCAUUCUCUAUCCUCGAGUUCUGUGUUAUAUGUUAGCUAUUGAUUUCCAUUCUAUCCAGGGAGAACUAGUUUUAACUUCUGAUAUUGCUAAAAAAACUGUAGGCAUGAAUCAAAAUUUAUCGGAAGUAUUAUAAAACAAGUUCUGCAAGAGGUCAACCAGACACCUCUAGAUGUUGCUCAUUACCCAAUUGGAUUAGAUUCUUCUAUCCAACAUAUAGAGUUGUUACUGCAAAGUGGAUGUGAGCAUGAAGUUCGUAUGGUUGGUAUAUGUGGCGUUGGUGGAAUUGGAAAAACAACUCUGGCGAAAGCUAUAUACAAUCGAUUAUUUCGACAGUUUGGUGGUUGUUGUUGCUUUCUAUCAGACAUUAGAUCACAAGCUGAAGAAUCGGGUCUAAUCAAGCUACAAGAGAAACUACUUUGUCAAAUUCUCAAAACUAAGGAAUUCAAAGUUGAUAGUGUUGCUGAAGGUGUCAAUCUAAUCAAAGCAAGACUUGGGUCAAAGAAGGUUCUAAUUGUUCUUGAUGACGUGGAUCAUAGAAGCCAAUUAGAAUCCUUGACAAGAGAAAGAAGUUGGUUUGGCUCGGGUAGUGUAAUAAUUAUUACAACCCGAGAUGAGCAUUUGCUACAUGGGCUUACAACAAGUGAGAUACACCGGGCCAAACUUUUAAAUGAAAAUGAAUCUCAACAACUUUUUUCUUGUCAUUCUUUUAACAGUCUUUCUCCACCACAAGAAUAUGUUGAACUGGCACAAGACAUAAUAAAAUAUUCAGGUGGGCUACCAUUAGCUCUUGUGACAUUGGGGUCACAUCUGCAAGGGAGAUCCGUUGAAGAAUGGAGAAAUGAGUUCAAGAAACUAAAAGCAAUUCCUCAUUAUGAUAUUCAAAAGAUUCUCCAGAUAAGCUUUGAUGGACUUGAUGAUAAUACUCAAAGUGUUUUCCUUGAUAUCGCGUGUGCCUUCCAUGGAUUUUUUGAGGAUGAAGUUACUAGUACAUUAAAUGCGUGUGGUUUUUAUUCUGAAAGUGCUAUUUCAACCUUAGUCCAAAGGAACUUGCUCCAAAGGGAUUGGCAUAAUUUAGCGAUGCAUGAUCUUGUGCGGGAUAUGGGAAGAGAAAUCGUUCGCAGGGAAUCACCUCGAGACUCUGGAAAACGGAGUAGAUUGUUCAACCCUCAAGAAGUCUGUGACGUUCUACAAGGAAAUAAAGUCAGUAAAUUUCAUAAUCUUUAUCUUGGUUAAUACUUUUUUUUGUCUUUUUAUUUUACUUAAUUUGAUAUAAUUUGCUUAUAAUUUAUGUGUCACCACAAGAAUUCAAUUCAUUUGUGCUUAGUUCGUUCUGGCUUGUAAAUUAUCUCUAGUUGUUUUUACCACUCUGUACUUGAAAUAAACAUUUACUAAAGUCUAAACACUCAAACUAUCAAAGACAAAAUUAUCAAAUAAAAUUUACUUAUUCAGUAAUUAUAUAAAUCGGUUUGCUGAAAGAUAUUUCUUGUUAAAUAUCCUUUAGUUGGAUAUAUUGUGUAGAUUUAUUUUUAUUGGUAGAUAAUUUGUUCUCUUUGUUUGACCUUCAAUUUGUAUAAAGCAUUUCUCUCUCUUAAUUUCUCUUAGUUAACAUGGUCUUAUAGUACUUUUGUUUUUACUUAACUACAGGGUUCUGAAAAUGUAGAAGUACUGAUGGUAGAACGACAUGCAUUAAAGGGUGUGAAGCUGAGCACCAAAGCAUUUCAGAAAAUGAUAAAUCUUAGGGUGCUUAAAAUCGACGACUUACAUAUUAGUGGAGAUUUUGAGCUAUUGUCCAAGGAGCUCAGAUGGUUGUCUUGGGAAGGAUGUCCUUUAAAAUGUAUACCAUCAAAUUUUCCAUCUGACCAACUUGUAUUUCUGAAUAUGAAAGGGAGCAAUAUCCAAGAACUUGGUUUGAAUUUGCAGGUUCGUUACUCAAUUCUGCAAUUUCAUGUGUACUGUUAUAUCGCAACUAAGAGAAAGAAAAUCUUAGUUGACACUAUAUUUUGUUUAUUUUAGUAUUGUAGAAAUUUGAAGAAGCUGGAUCUCUCUGAUUGCAAGCACCUCAGAAAUACUCCAAACUUCAGCGGUUUACGAAGUCUCGAGACUUUGUGGCUUGAGAAUUGCUCAAGUCUAAAGGAGAUCCAUCCAUCAAUAGGAAAUUUGGACAGACUAACUGCUCUUCAUUUGUAUGGUUGCAAAAAGAUUACGGAUCUUCCAAGUAGCACAUGCCAGCUAAAAUCCCUUGAAGACUUGGACAUUACUUACUGCUCAUCUUUACAAACACUGCCAGCUGACAUUGGAGAUAUGCAAAGCCUAAGACAUCUCUAUGCACAAGAUACUGAUAUAAAACAAUUGCCCGGAUCUGUUAAAAUGCUAAGAAAUCUUACAGAUUUGCAAGUGGGAGGUCAAAAUUUAAAGGCCAAAAGGAGAGUUUAUCAAAGAAGAUCCCACCAUAUAGAAUCCUUGCCAAUUUCUAUUUCUCGUUUAAUCCUUCGAUAUUGUGAUUUCUCCGAGGCUGAUAUUCCUAGGGAUAUUGGGACUUUAUCCAACUUACAUGAUUUAGAUUUGAGCGGCAACAGUUUCCUCUAUCUACCCUUUGAUUUCUCCAAGUUACCAUGGUUGAAGUCCUUGCGUUUGAAUGAUUGUAUGAAUCUUCAAACACUCCCGUCAAUAUCAAAUUUAGAGUACCUUUAUAUUCUUGAACUUAGGAAUUGCCAAAAGUUGGUCAAGAUUACAGGGUUGGACAACCUCCCUUCAAUACAAGAGAUCGACACUCUUAAUUGUACUUCUCUGCAGAAUCCAUUCAAUGAUGGCUUCUUUAGUGCCCAUGCUCUAUCAAUUUCAUCUAGAAAAUAUGCAAUGUUUCAGGUAAGUCCCUUUAUUUUUGUGUGUCUCGUAUCACAUUAUUAAUUAAUGUUCUAAUUGUGUCUUAAUUUGUCUGAUGAAGCUGCGGUUACACAUUUAUCUCCAAAGCAAUGAGAUUCCAGAUUGGUGCAGCAAUCAAGUAACAGCUCCAUCUAUCUGUUUCACUAUUCCCUCCGUAUUUAAGAAAAAGUCGUUAGGAAUGAUUCUCUGGUUUGUUUGCGACUCUAAGAUUUUAUCCCAGUUUGGACACUUCCUUGUUUCCGUAUCCAAUAAAAAGCCUUUAGUUUUUUACUGGACUAGGUAUAUUACUACACCCGAAUCACACGGAGAAGUAUCAUGCGUAUAUUACAUAUCUUGCUUAACUAGUCAUUAUUCUGGCCUGAUGAUCAAAGGCGGGGAAAAGAUAACAGUCGAGGAGGGCCCUGACAAAGGUAGAGUAAAGAAGAUAGGGGUACAUCUGUUAUACUUAGACAAACAUGGUAAUGUUACAUCUUCCCCACCAAUCCUUGAAGAAAAUCAUUCGCAUUCUCAGAUAAUGAACAGAGAGAGUCUCAGUGGAAAUGAACUCAAAAAGAGUGUCAAACAGAGGAUAUCAGCUCAAUCCUUGAAGAACAUCAUCACUCGCUUCAAAUCUUAGUUGAAUCAAAAAUAACUUGCUCCAGUUUCUUAUCAACAUGCAAUAUUCAAAAUGCUCAUCCAACUACAAUCUGAUUUUUUUAAAAAGUAUUUUUCAUCCGACAGAUGCUAAAUACUCAUUGCAAGUUGUCAUCCAAUGAAAAUUUUGCUAGUGUGUACAUUUUAUAUCUUACUCAAAUGAUGGACCUUUUUAUGGCCUGAAGAUUGAAGGCGGGGAAAAGAUAACAGUCAAGGAGGGCGCUGACGAAGGUAUAGUUUUUGCAGGCAGUUGUGGAUCAUUCUUAUACUGAUCUCUACCCAAAAAGACUUUCAUCAAACUACUCCUCUUUGAUAAAAGAUCAAAGUUUCUGUGUUCGGUAGCAAGGAAAAUAUGUUCCAUGAAAACGUUUUUUUGGAAAAUGUUUAUUCUAAAAGUAUUUGUAUAUAUAACACUAAGUGGAAAUGUACUUUUCUGCAGAAUCCAUUCAAUGAAUGCAUCUUUAGUGCCACUGCUCUAUCAAUUCCAUCUGGAAAAUAUCCAAUACAUGAGGGUAGUCCCCUCUCUCUCUCUCUCGUAUCACAUUAACAAUUAAUGAUCUAAUUGUAUUUUAAUUUGUCUGAUGAAGCAGAUUUUAUGAAUUUGUGUCGAAUGCAAUGAGAUUCCAGAUGGGUGCAGCAAUAAAGUAACAGCUCCAUAUAUCUGUUUCACUAUGCCCACAAUACAUAAUAAUAAGUUGUUAAGAAUGGUUCUCUAGUCUGUUGGCGACUUUGAGGCUUUAUCCUAUUUUGGGAACUUCCUUGUUACUGUUGCCCAUAAAAAGCCUUUAGUUAUGGAGUGGUUUGGGUGUAGGAAAAUACCCGAAUUACACGAAGAAAUAGCAUGUGUAUUUGAUGUAUCUUGCUUACGUAGACCUUUCGAUGGCCUGAUGCUCAAAGGUGGGGAAGAGAUAACAGUCGAGGAGGGCCCUUACAAAGGUGUAGUAAAAAAGAUAGGUAUCCAUCUGUUAUACUUAGACCAACACGGUAAUGUUACAUCUUUCCCCAUUUCCAGAAAAACUUCAGCAGGGCAUAAAAGAGCAAAGUUCUGAGUCAAGCUUGGGAAUGAGUGAUGACUGAAUCUGUGGUUUCGAGAUUGCUCAAGUCUGAGACUUCUAUUUCGAGAUUUUCUUUUCUAAGAAGAGCAUGCCACUUACAAUCCUUGUCAUCGACUUCUAUUUCGUGUUUGUCUGAGACUGAUUUUCCUAAGUUUAUUGGGAGUUUAUAUACUGCAUAGAAGUUUUAGAUUUGAGCAGUAACAAUUUUCACUGAGGUUCUUGCUUUUGAAUGACAAUGAGAGUCUUCAAACACUUCCAUCAGUUGCUUCUGUAUAAAAUUUUGUUUUCCAUUGUAUACUGCUAGUUUUUUGAGCUGCACUAAAACUUAGUAAAAAGAGAUGAAUCUGUAUAGUGAAUAUACUUCUUAUAAAUGUUUGUGGUGAUUUAUGGUCAUUAUUUGCAAAUUUCAUAUACUCAUCAGUUCCUAUUUACUUGUCAAAUAUUUUCUAAUUUGAUUUCCCUUUUUAGUUCGUCAUUUUUUUUACAAAUGAAGGAAGAACAAUUAUUUUCUUCCUAUUAUACGCUUAAUUUAUUAACAUUGAAUUAAUGUCUUUGAAAAAUGUAGUAAGUAAAUAUGUUUAAGAUUCUAUCAAUUAAUAGGGUAAAAUAGUAAACUUACUAUACCAAUCAUUGUUUUCUUUAACAGGUGUGUCAAGUCAAAAUUUAACAAGUAAAAAGGGACGAAAAGAGUAUAUAUACUUUGUGAAUUGAGAUUUAUGUCAAUGCUUUGACUGGUUCUUGAGAUGUUAAAUAAUUCCAAAUAAUAUUAAUUUGAUUUUCAUGACCAAACACCUACUUAGCUUGUUGAUCUCAAUUACGUAAAAUCUCUAUAAAAGAUAACCAAAGAAUGUCUCGAAGUCAACUACUGGUCAGACUAUUCAAAAAGAACUUAUAUUAUAAGAAAAUAUUCAAAAAGGAGAAAAAAAAAGUGAAGGAGAAGAAAGAGGAGGUAAAUAGCGUGUAUAUUUAUGAUACGUUAAGUAAGCAAUAUAUUUGUUUAUGUAAUAAGUUAAUUGCAAAGAAUCAAUUACGAAUUUGGUUGAAAAUAGAAUUAAGUACUCUCUUCCUCUCAUAUUAGUUGAUCAUUAUAUUAAAAAUAAUUAUCUAAUAUAAAUAUUUUCUAUAUUAUCCUUGCAAUUAAUUCUUUUUAAAAGUGUUCAUAUUUGUUUAUAAAAUUCCAAAAUAUUUUUUAAAAGGGUGAAUUAAUAAAAUUAUCUUCAUAUUUAUGAUUUUUUAAGCACCAUACAAAAUGAAAAGUGAUCAAAUAAUGGGACAGAGGAAGUAUUAGAUUACUCACUCUGUGGUAUCAUAAUAUUAUCAUUUUAUUUAUUGCUAAUGAAUAUGUGUCAUCAUACUGGACAAAUUAAAAUGAACGAACGUCCCAAUAGCAAAUUAAAUUUCUUACUUGGGAUCAACAAGGAUUGUGGUGCAGUAGAAAGUACUCAUUUAUCCUUAAUCAGACUCUUGGGUUCAAGUUUCCCUUGGUAUAAAGUCCCCUUUUUUAGGGAGCGUUUUACCUCCAAUGUGGAACUUUUCAGUGCAAAUCAAAAUUUAAUCGGGUUCCAAUGUGGUACGAACAACAAGUGGAAAAUCAAAUCAAAUAAAAAAAUAAUAAUUUUUUUUCUUAUUUUUGAAGAAUCUGACACAGAUAGAGCAACAUUUUCAAAGAAUCUGAGUAAAAUACCAAACUAUGAUAAUCUUAAUAAAGGCAUAGUGGAACAUCAUGACAUAUUUGUUGUAUUUUAUUUUUAAGGGAAAAGGCUCAAAUAUGCCAUUGAACUUUCAGAAAAGGCUCAUUUAUGCCAUCCGUUAAAAGUUUGGCUCAUCUAUGCCAUUACCGUUUAAGAAAAGGCUCAUUCAUGCCAUUAUUUUUUAACGGUGGUUUUGCAGAACCAUUUUUUUAAAUGUUUGUUUAGAAUUUUGAUUUUUUAUUAUAAAAAAAAUAAUGACGUGGCCGAAUUAUAAUUGGCCACGUGUAAAAAAUGAUUUUGCAAAACCACCGUUAAAAUAUUUGUUCAUAAUUUUGUUUUUUUGUUAUAAAAAAAUAAUGACGUGGCUGAAUUAUAAUUGGUCACGUGUAAAAAAUAGUUUUGCAAAACCACCGUUAAAAUGCUUGUUCAGAAUUUUGAUUUUUUAUUAUAAAAAAAUAAUGACAUGGCCAAAUUAUAAUUGGCCACGUGUAAAAAAUGGUUUUGCAAAACCACCGUUAAAAAAUAAUGGCAUGAAUGAGCUUUUUCUUAAACGGUAAUGGCAUAGAUGAGCCAAACUUUUAACGAAUGGCAUAAAUGAGCCUUUUCUGAAAGUUCGAUGGCAUAUUUGAGCCUUUUCCCUAUUUUUAAUAAAGAUGAAGAGGAAAAGUCAGAGGUUGUGAAAUUUGUUGCAAUACUAUAUUUGUUCUGCAAUAAAUUAAUCACAAAGAUAUAGAAACGGUCCAAUUCAAUAAAUUAUUCACUUUGUGUGUAAUCGUAAUAUUGUUAUUUUAUUUAUUGUUAAUGAACGUAUAUCGUUAUAAAUGAACCGAGGGUGAGAGUAAACAAAUUAAAUUUCUUAGGACUUGGGAGGUAUCUUGCAAAAUAGUUGAUCUAAUACUAUACAGUGAACUUUCUUGGUUUCAUCCAUGAAUACUCAAGGAGAAUCAUCAUCUUCUUCUUCCCACUUGUCUUAUGAUGUAUUUCUCAGUUUUAGAGGCGAAAGAUACUCGCAAAACCUUCACCGGUCAUCUUUACACCCAAUUGUGUCAAGUCGGAGUUCAUACCUUCAUAGAUGAUGAGGAAUUAAGAAAGGGAGACGUCAUUUCAACCGAACUUGAGAAAGCAAUUGAACAAUCAAGGGUUGCCAUUGUUGUUUUCUCCAAAAAUUAUGCUUCGUCUAGUUGGUGUCUUGAUGAACUUGUUAAAAUUCUCGAUUGCAAAGAGAGGUUAAAGCAGGUAGUUUUGCCUAUUUUCUAUGAUGUUGAUCCUUCUCAAGUGCGAAAGCAAACUGGGUCCUUUGGCGAAGCUUUGGCAAAACACAAGGAACGAUCAAUUGGAGCUGAAAGAAUGGAAAAGUGGAAAGCAGCACUCACUGAAGCUGCAAAUUUAUCUGGAUGGGAUUUGCGAAAUAUUGCUGAUGGGUAAAACUUCUUAAUUUAAUGGGAAAAUGCAUAAGUAUCCCCAAAUUUAUGCCUGAAAUUUCAGAGACACACUUAUACUAUACUAAGAUCCUAUUAUCCGAACUUAUUUUAUAAAUAAUUUUCUACCCCUUUUCGGUCUAUGUGACACUAUUCUUGAAAGAAUUGUCAACAUGCGCUGGCCCUGAAGAUAGUGUCACGUAGGCUGAAAAGGAGUAGAAAAUUAUUUAUAAAAUAAGUACGGGGUAAUAAGACCUUAAUAUAGUAUAAGUGUGUCUCUGAAAUUUCGGGCAUAGGUUGAGGGAUACUUAUGUAUUUUCCCUAAUUUAAUUAUAGAAUUUUGAAUUUAAGAAUUUGCUUAAGCUUAUAAGUUGGUUAGUUUUGAAACAUUGCAAAGUCUUUCAAUAUUUCUUAAAACUCAGUGCCCAAUCAAACUAAGGGAGUAGUAAUAAUCGAUAAUCCAAGUAUCAAUUAACAGCAAUUAGCCUGUUAAAUGUAGUUAGAAUUUACUAAUAGCAUAGAAAUAUCAAUAUAUAAAAAUAAAUUCCGUUCUCUAACCUCGAGUCCCUGUUAUCUGUUGGCUAUUGAUUUUGUUUUGUUCAUCAAAUAUCCAAGUAUUGUUUUGCUUUUUUUACUUUUAACUUUUGUUGUUGCCAUAAAAUUGUAGGCAUGAAUCAAAAUUUAUUGGAAGUAUUAUAAAACAAGUUCUGCAAGAGGUCAACCAGACACCUCUAGAUGUUGCUCAUUACCCAAUUGGAUUAGAUUCUUCUAUCGAACAUAUAGAGUUGUUACUGCAAAGUGGAUGUGAGCAUGAAGUUCACAUGAUUGGUAUAUGUGGCGUUGGUGGAAUUGGAAAAACAACUCUGGCAAAAGCUAUCUACAAUAAAAUAUUUCAACAGUUUGAUGGUAGUUGCUUCCUUUCAGACGUUAGAUCAAAAACUGAAGAAAUGGGUCUAGUCAAACUUCAAAAGAAACUACUUAAUCAAAUCCUCAAAACUAAGGAAUUUGAAGUUGAUAGUGUUGCUGAAGGUGUUAAUCUCAUCAAAGCAAGACUUGGGUUUCAGAAGGUUCUAAUUGUUCUUGAUGACGUGGAUCAUAAAAGCCGAUUAGAAUCCUUAACAAGAGAAAGAAGUUGGUUUGGCUUUGGUAGUGUAAUAAUUAUUACAACCCGAGACGAGCAUUUGUUGUAUGGGCUUACAACAAGUGAGAUAUACCAGGCCAAACUUUUAAAUGACAACGAAGCUCAGCAACUUUUUUCUCGUCAUGCUUUCAACAGUUUUUCUCCACCACAAGAAUAUGAUGAGCUGGCACAAGACAUAAUAAAAUAUUCAGGUGGGUUACCAUUAGCUCUUGUGACAUUAGGGUCACAUUUGCAAGGGAGAUCCAUAGAAGAAUGGAGACACGAGUUCAAAAAACUAAGAGCAAUUCCUCAUUGUGAUACUCAAAAGAUUCUCCAAAUAAGCUUUGAUGGACUUGAUGACAAUACUCAGAGUGUUUUCCUUGAUAUCACAUGCGCCUUCCAUGGAUGUUAUGAGGAUGAAGUGACCAAAACAUUAAAUGCGUGUGGUUUUUAUUCUGAAAGUGCAAUUUCGACCUUAAUCCAAAGGAACUUACUCCAAAGGGAUUGCUGUUAUUUGGUGAUGCAUGAUCUAGUGCGGGAUAUGGGAAGAGAAAUCGUUCGCUUGGAAUCACCUCGAGACUCUGGAAAACGGAGUAGAUUGUUCAACCCUCAAGAAGUCCGUGAUGUUCUACAAGGAAAUAAAGUUAGUAAAUUUGGAUUAUCUUUAUUUGAUAUACAUUUGCUUAUAAUUUAUGUUGUCACCACAUAAACUUAUUUCAUUUGUGCUCAAUACUUCUCUGGCUAGUAAAUUAUCUCUAGUUGUUUGCGAACCACUCUGUACUUGAAAUGAGUCAAAGACAAAAUUAUCAAAUAAAAUUCAGUUAUUCAAUAAUUAUAGAAAUUGAUUUGUUGAAAGAUAUUUCUUAUUAAAUAUUUGGAUAUAAUGUGUAAAUUUAUUUUCUUGGUAGAUAAUUUUUAUUCUCUUUGAUUGACCUUUAAUUUGUAUAAAACAUUUCUCUCUCUUAAUUUCUUAUACUUAACAUGGUCUUAUGGUACUUAACAUGGUCUUACAGGGUUCCAAAAAUGUAGAAGUAUUGGUGGUAGAACGACGGGCAUUAAAGGGUGUGAAGCUGAGCACCAAAGCAUUUCAGAAAAUGAUAAAACUUAGGGUGCUUAAAAUUGAUGACUUACAUAUUAGUGGAGAUUUUGAGCUAUUGUCCAAGGAGCUCAGAUGGUUGUCUUGGAAAGGAUGUCCUUUAAAAUGUAUACCAUUAAAUUUUCCAGCUGAAAAACUUGUAGUUCUGAAUAUGGAAGGGAGCGAUGUCCAAGACUUUGGUUUGAAUUUGCAGGUUCAUUACUCAAUUCUGCAAUUUCACGUGUACUGUUAUAUCGCAAGUAUGAGAAGGAAAAUGUUUAAUUGAAAUUAUAUUUUGUUUACAUUUUAGUGUUGUAGAAGUUUGAAGGAGCUGAAUCUCACUGAUUGCAAGCGCCUCAGAAGUACUCCAAACUUCAGGGGUUCACGAAGUCUCAAGAUUUUGUCCCUUGAGAAUUGCUCAAGUCUAAAGGAGAUCCAUCCAUCAAUAGGAAAUUUGGAAAGACUAAUUGAUCUUCAAUUGAGUGGUUGCAAAAAGAUUACGGAUCUUCCGAGCGGCAUAUGCCAGCUAAAAUCCCUUGAAUACUUGUGCAUUAAUGACUGCUUAUCUUUACAAACACUGCCAGUUGACAUUGGAGAUAUGCAAAACCUAGUAAUUCCUCAUGCAUGGGAUACAGGUAUAAAACAAUUGCCUGUAUCUGUUGAGAUGCUAAGAAAUCUUGAACAUUUGCAAGUGGGAAGUAGAAAUUUAGUGGCCAAAAGGAGUUUUUCUCGAAGAAGAAGAGUCCGCCGCAUAGAAUUCUUGCCAAUUUUUAUUUUUCAUUUAUGCCUUCCAUAUUUUGGUUUCUCAGAGGAUGAUAUUCCUAGAGAUAUUGGAAGAUUAUCCAACUUACGUUAUUUAGAUUUGAGGGGCAACAAUUUCCUCUAUCUACCCUUUGAUUUUUCCAAGUUACCAUUGUUGAUUUCCUUGUGUUUGAAUGAUUGUAAGAAUCUUCAAACACUCCCAUCACUAUCAAAUUUAGAGUACCUUGAAAUUCUUGGACUUGAGAAUUGCCAAAAUCUGGUGAGGAUUACAGGGUUGGACUACCUCCCGUCAAUAAAGAUGAUCGACGUGAUUAAUUGUACUUCCCUGCAGAAUCAAUUCAAUGAAGGCUUCUUUAGUGCCCAUGCUCUAUCAACUCCGUCUAUAAAAUAUCCAGAUAUUAAGGUUUAGUCCCUCUUCCUCUCUCUCUCAUAUCACAUUAUUAAUGAUCUAAUUUUGUCUUAAUUAAUAUGUCUGAUGAAGCUGCAGUUAGAAAUUUAUGUCGAAAGCAAUGAGAUUCCAGAAUGGUGCAGCAAUAAAGUAACAGCUCCAUCUAUUUGUUUGACUAUGCCCACAGUACAGAAUAAUGAGUAUAACUUCUUAGGAAUGGUUCUCUGGUUUGUUUCCCACUUUUGCAAUGUAACCACCCGUCUUCAAAAGUUUGAUGUUACUAUUGGCCAGCCUUCAGCUUUUUUCUUGACUUGGGUACCUGACAGUCAGGGAGAAGUAUCAUGUGUACAUUACUUAUCUUUCUCAAAUGGUAGACCUUUUAAUGGCCUGAACAUCAUCAAAGGCGGGGAACAGAUAAGAGUAGAGGAUCACAGUGAUGGAGGCAUAAUAAAGAAGAUAGGAGUACGUCUGUUAUAUUUAGAUCAACAUGGUAAUGUUACUUCUUUCCCGGCAGUUGUGGAUCAUUCUUAUACUCCCAACCCACAAAGAUAGAUGUUUGAUUUGGGUUGAUAUAAAUUGUUAAGCUGACAAAAAGUUGACAAGCAAACUACAUACUGUAAUAAAUAGAAUUCUUACAAGUGCUUCGACAUUAUUGCUGCUUUGAUGUAUUUGUACAAGAUUUUAUGUGAACAUUCCCUGGCCAAUUGAAACAAACACUGUUAGCAACAUCUAAUACUAUAUCAAUCAUGAAAUUUUCAGUGAAACGUUGCCACUAUAACGAGGUUUGACUGUACUUGCAUAAUGUUAAACCAUCAUCGUACAAGACAUGCCACCCUUACCUACAAGGUGGAGCAUUUUCAUCAGACAUGCUCAAAUGCAACAAAUCCAUACGGAUAUGAUGAUCAAAAUUGAAUGACCGCGAAAGAAAUUAAACGAAUAGAAGCUAGAAUGUCAAUUGACUCACUAAUAAUCCCCUCAAGUACCCGAGGUUGCAUAUUAAUUCCUCCCAAGAUAAAACGGAUUAACCAUUAACGAAGUAGCAGUACCUCAAACUUCGAUAAUUUCAACGAACUCAAAAUGACAGCAACGAAUCAUACACAGACACGAUCAAUUGAUUUUGUUUUUUUAAGAAAUGUAUGCAAAAGAAGGGAAGAAUUCGAUGCAGAAAAAUGGGAGGAAACUUCUCUAUUUAUAGCCAACAAAGGGUAAAGGCACAACCCUUUGGAAAGAAGACAACCUUUCAGAGAGGUCACAACACUUUCAAAAAGGCAUAACCUUUCAAAUGGUCAUAACCCUUUAGAAAGGACACAACAUUUCAUAAAGGUCACAAUCCUUCGGCAUAGUCACAACUCUUCAGGAGAGUCACAGCCCUUCAUUUCCUGUUCACACAUUUAAAACCCAACAAUCCCCCACAUGAAUAGGGAAUGGCUAUUGUUAAAACAUAUGCAUGAAAAAUUGUGUGAUUUGUAAUUAAGGAUUGAUUGCCUCUGGAUAAGUGGGUUUCCCUUUGAACUUUCCAUAGUGAACAUAUAUCGGAUAUACUCGGUCAAUCGGUAGAUUUGAUAUCUUUGAACCGUCGAGCUUUGGUGUAUACCUAGACAACAUAAGUCACACAAUCAACCCUUGAACUGUUUUUGGUUCUCAUUGUUUUAUUCUUUUCGGCCAUGAACACGUCUCAGUUUAUAAGUGCGUAGAGAACUGGCCUUACCAGAUUCUCCUUGAAGCGGCUUACACUUCACACUUACAUAGGUGAUUUCUAAAAUGUGUUAUCCCAUAGAUACACCAUUUGAUAUACGCUGUAUCAAACUUAGAAAUCAUUAAAAAGUCCUAAUGCAUUUAUCCUUGUUACUGAACAUUGUCUUAUCAUGAGAAUGGACCAUAAAAAAUAUUUUGACAAUGUUGAACCGUCAUCAAUGACUUUGUUUGAUCUCCUUGAACCUAGAUCUUGGGAUCUCCAGUCUUCUAGGUAGAGUUACCGCCACAAUGACUUGUUCUCGGCCAUAGUCCCAUUCCCUUUGAUAAUCUAUCAACUCCCUCUCUAGUUAGGCCUUUUAUAAGUGGUCCGACACAUUAUCCUUUGACUUUACAUAGUCAAUUAUGAUAAUUCCACUAGAGAGUAGUUCUCUAACGAUAUUAUGUCUACGUCAUAUAUGAUGAGACUUCCCGUUAUACAUCAUGCUCCAUGCCCUACCUAUUGAGAAUUAACUCUCACAGUGUAUGCAUACCGGAGCUAAAAGGUUUGGGCCAAAAAUCUUUUAAGAAAUUUUGGAGUCAUUCAACUUCUUCACCCGCCUUAUCUAGAGUGAUAAACUCAGAUUUCAUAGUAGAGUCAUAUAAUAUAUGAUCAUGAUUACGUUGGCAUCAUCUCAUCCCAUUGACGAAUGACUCCUAAAUGAAUUUUGAUCAAUUAUUUCAAUCCACUUUCCCAUAAUGUGAAAGAGAUUCAAAGAAGAAUGGACUUUGAGAUGCCAAAAAGAAGAGUGAGAGAGUUGUGUUGACAAUUAAUAUGAAAGCAAGUCACAAAUUAUCUACUAAAGUCAAUCUAGUCCAUAAGUGAAUUAUUAGAGAUAUAAAAAUAAAAAUCUUUAUUAUUUUUAUUAGUGUGACCAAUUAAAAAUCUAGGAAGGAAGUGAAAAUUAAUACUUAUCAUGGACAAAUAAAAAUUAAAAAUGAAGGAAACAUGUCUAUGAAAUAUCUUGGGAACUUCCCUUUCAUUUCUGUUAACCUUCUUUGGGGAGGAUUGUAAAUGAGUUGACCCAAAAUAACAAACAAUUACUUGUGGGUGGUGUUCAUGGUUUGGAUAAAACCAAUCCAAACUGAAAAAUCGAAUCAAAUCGAUAAAAUAAAAUCGAUUUUAUUUGGAUUUGAUUUUAGAUUUUUAAAAACCGAUAGUAUUUGGUUUGGUUAUGGUUUUAUUCAAAAAAACCGAAGAAAUAACUGAACCGAUGAAUUAUAUACAUAUAUUUUAUUAAUAUACAUACUUAAUAUAUUGUUUUUAUAAGCAACUUUAAAGAUCUUACAUAUAUUUUCAUUAAUUUUUUUUUUAUAAUUUACUUAUUGAAAGCAAAAAUGCCCAAGAUAAAAAUAUUUAUCUUAUUGAUUUCAUAUAUAUGAAUGUCUAUGACAAUUCUUUGUGGAACUGAAAAUGUUAUUGUCUCUUCCUUCUAGGCCAAUAUAGUGAAUUUUAAAGUUUUAUUAAUAGUAAAUUUAGUGAUCAAAAGUUCAAUAAUUUAAGUCAUUCUAACUAUUUUUCGUUUUGAAUGGAUUGUUGUCACUUUUUUCACAUUUUGAAUGAAUUAUUUCUUUUAUUUUUGUGUAUGGUUAAUAACCGAACCAAAUCAAACCGAAACUAAUAACCAUCAAACCGAUAAAUGUAUAUUAUAUUUGAUUUGAUUUGGUUUUGAUAAUUUUAAAACCGAUUAAGUUGGUUUGAUUUUGAAUUUGACCACUAACCAAUACCUACUUGUGGGUAUAUAAAGUGCUGCUUCACUCAUCUCUAUUUAAUUAAAAAAAACAAAAGUUGACUAAAAUUCUCUUUAAUUUAUUGUCAUCAAAUAUGAAUACUCAAUUUGUUGUAGGAGAAUCAUCUUCUUCUUCCAACUUCUCUUAUGAUGUAUUUCUCAGUUUCAGAGGUAAAGAUACCCGUAAAAACUUCACCGGUCAUCUUUAUUUCCGAUUGUGUCAAGUCGGAGUUAAUACUUUCAUAGAUGAUGAGGAAUUGAGAAAGGGAGACGUCAUUUCAACAGAACUUGAGAAAGCAAUUGAAGAAUCUAGGGUUGCCAUUGUUGUUUUCUCCAAAAAUUAUGCUUCGUCUAGUUGGUGUCUCGAUGAACUUGUCAAAAUUCUCGAUUGCAGAGAGAGGUUAAAUCAGGUAAUUUUGCCUAUUUUCUAUGAUGUUGAUCCUUCUCAAGUGCGAAAACAAACUGGGUCCUUUGGCGAAGCUUUGGCAAAACACAAGGAACAAUUGUUUGGAGUUCAAAGAGUGGAGAAGUGGAGAGCUGCACUUACUGAAGCUGCGAAUUUAUCUGGAUGGGAUUUGCGAAACAUGGCUGAUG
rnacentral:lncRNA from 1 species